GAUGAACGCUGGCGGCGUGCUUAACACAUGCAAGUUGAACGAAGCAAUUUAGCGGAAGUUUUCGGAUGGAAGUUAAAUUGACUGAGUGGCGGACGGGUGAGUAACGCGUGGGUAACCUGCCUCACACUGGGGGACAACAGUUAGAAAUGACUGCUAAUACCGCAUAAGCGCACAGGACCGCAUGGUCCGGUGUGAAAAACUCCGGUGGUGUGAGAUGGACCCGCGUUUGAUUAGCUAGUUGGUGGGGUAACGGCCUACCAAGGCGACGAUCAAUAGCCGACCUGAGAGGGUGACCGGCCACAUUGGGACUGAGACACGGCCCAAACUCCUACGGGAGGCAGCAGUGGGGAAUAUUGCACAAUGGGGGAAACCCUGAUGCAGCGACGCCGCGUGAGUGAAGAAGUAUUUCGGUAUGUAAAGCUCUAUCAGCAGGGAAGAAAAUGACGGUACCUGACUAAGAAGCCCCGGCUA
rnacentral:rRNA from 1 species